CGCGUAGGCGGCUCUUCAAGUCGGGUGUGAAAGCCCGCGGCUCAACCGCGGAAUUGCACUCGAGACUGGCGAGCUCGAGGACGGGAGAGGAUGGUGGAAUUCCCAGUGUAGAGGUGAAAUUCGUAGAUAUUGGGAAGAACACCGGUGGCGAAGGCGGCCAUCUGGACCGUUUCUGACGCUGAGGCGCGAAAGCGUGGGGAGCAAACAGGAUUAGAUACCCUGGUAGUCCACGCCGUAAACGAUGAGUGCUAGACGUUGGGGGACCUAGUCUCCCGGUGUCGCAGCUAACGCAUUAAGCACUCCGCCUGGGGAGUACGGCCGCAAGGUUAAA
rnacentral:rRNA from 1 species